GGGCGCGUAGCUCAGCUGGUUAGAGCAUGCGCUUGAUAAGCGCAGGGUCAUAGGUUCGAAUCCUAUCGCGCCCACCA
rnacentral:tRNA from 1 species